GACAGAGGGGGCAAGCGUUGCUCGGAAUCACUGGGCGUAAAGGGCGCGUAGGCGGGAUGGCAAGUCGGUCGUGAAAUCCCUCGGCUCAACUGAGGAGAGUCGGCCGAUACUGCUGUUCUUGAGGGAUGCAGAGGAGACUGGAAUUCCCGGUGUAGCGGUGAAAUGUGUAGAGAUCGGGAGGAACACCGGUGGCGAAGGCGGGUCUCUGGGCAUCUCCUGACGCUGAGGCGCGAAAGCGUGGGGAGCAAACGGG
rnacentral:rRNA from 1 species